UACGGAGGGUGCAAGCGUUAUCCGGAUUUACUGGGCGUAAAGCGUGUGCAGGCGGGGGUACAAGUGGUGUAUGAAAUUUCCCAGCUUAACUGGGAAGGGUUAUGCCAGACUGUACUUCUGGAGUGCGAGAGAGGGGCGUGGAAUUCCGGGUGUAGUGGUGAAAUGCGUAGAGAUCCGGAGGAACCCCAGAGGCGAAGGCGGCGCCCUGGCUCGCAACUGACGCUCAGACACGACAGCAUGGGGAGCGAACGGG
rnacentral:rRNA from 1 species